UCCUCUUUACAGAGGCAGUUUGUCCCGAGUUCCCGCCAUUACGCGCUGGCAACAGGACAUGAGGGUUGCGCUCGUUGCGGGACUUAACCCAACAUUUCACAACACGAGCUGACGACAGCCAUGCACCACCUGCGGAUCACCCUCGAAGGCGACUCGCUUUCACGAGCUUGCAGAUCCAUGUCAAGCCUGGGUAAGGUUCUUCGCGUUGCAUCGAAUUAAGCCACAUGCUCCACCGCUUGUGCGGGCCCCCGCCAAUUCCUUUGAGUUUCAACCUUGCGGCCGUAGUCCCCAGGCGGUUCACUUAAUGCGUUAGCUGCGGCACCGAAGGUUACCCCCCGACACCUAGUGAACAUAGUUUAGGGCCAAGACUAC
rnacentral:misc_RNA from 1 species